CGAGCAGCCAGGGGGCCCAAGGGAAGCUGAACGCCGGGUGAGCUACCCGGAUGGCUCUUCCGGUUCUUUGUGCGGCCUUCACCCAGUGAGGGAGCCUGUGCCCCCCUGCCCAGUCGCUUUCGGGGCGCUGAGGAGCUUCCGCUGCCAUCUUCGGAUGCCGUGUCCCGCACGGAGGGUCCACCAGGGCAGGGAUAGUGGUGAGGGUCGCUCGUGGAUCCCCUCGCGGGGAGCAGGGUCUGGCACACACCAGGGCGCAGGAUUAGGACUUGUUGAAUGAAUCCAUCGUGGCCUUUAUCUUUUAGUCCUCUGAAGAGCGUUGAGAAUGGAAAUCAUAAGAUAUUUUUUCCAUUAGGAAGUUCUUUUUACAAGGCGUUUAUUCAGGUUGACUUCUCAGCACCCCGCGGGGCGGGCAACGGGCAGGGCCUCCAGUGCACCUUCUGCGCAGUGGAGCCGAGGGGGGCUCAGCUGGGCGGUGGUCGGGUCGUGAGGCGGGAGGGCGGGAGCGGGGGAAGGGUAAAGCAAAAGCGGGGAAAGAAGCCGGGGAGCGGUGGACCAGACAUUCAGACCUCCUGAAAGGCUCGUGCGGAGGCAGAGGCGGGAUCUUCCGGAGUGUGGAAGAUGAUCAAAGUAUGACAUUUCUUCUACCCCAGAGGUUGGCAUUUCUGCAGGCACAAAUGAGCUUGGUUUUCAAGCACCGCUCUUUGAACACAAGGAAUUCCUUUAAUGAUCACGCCGGACUAUAUAGACUUUGGAAUCAGACUCUUUGAAUUCCAGCUCUGCCAUUUACCAACUUUGACACUUUGGGUAAG
rnacentral:lncRNA from 1 species